GUGGGGAAUCUUAGACAAUGGGGGAAACCCUGAUCUAGCCAUGCCGCGUGAGCGAUGAAGGCCUUAGGGUUGUAAAGCUCUUUCAGCUGGGAAGAUAAUGACUGUACCAGCAGAAGAAGCCCCGGCUAACUCCGUGCCAGCAGCCGCGGUAAUACGGAGGGGGCUAGCGUUGUUCGGAAUUACUGGGCGUAAAGCGCACGUAGGCGGACCGGAAAGUCAGAGGUGAAAUCCCAGGGCUCAACCUUGGAACUUCCUUUGAAACUCCUGGUCUUGAGGUCGAGAGAGGUGAGUGGAAUUCCGAGUGUAGAGGUGAAAUUCGUAGAUAUUCGGAGGAACACCAGUGGCGAAGGCGGCUCACUGGCUCGAUACUGACGCUGAGGUGCGAAAGCGUGGGGAGCAAACAGGAUUAGAAACCCGGGUAGUCC
rnacentral:rRNA from 1 species